rnacentral:lncRNA from 1 species
AACGGGGAGCAAAGAGAGGAAUCUUCAGACUCUCUCUUUAACUUCAGGAUAGUUAUGAAGACCUUGGCAUUGCUCUGUAGAAUUUUCAGCCUACUUCCUUUGCCAAGCUGCCACACUUCCUUGCGCUGCUCAAGCUAUGUUCCAGCUACCAACAUUUUCCAAACAAGCUGGGCUCCUUCCAGCCCUGUGACUUUGUUGGCUGUUCCUUUUUUGAUCAAAUAUGCCUGUCCCAACUUCUCUGCCUGGCAAGAAAAGCUUCAUUCUCUAAGAUUCAUCACAGAUAAAUUGUAUUGGUGAAACCUGGCCUGCGUCCCCAAGCCAAGAAAUGCCAUGAUUUACUUUCUGCUCUUGCCAAGGAUGAAGAAAUAAAGUCAUAAACAAAAAGUGAAGGAGUGAAGAAUUACUCGGCUUGGAUGGACAGGUCAAUCUGCUUGCCCACCUGUGGCCAAGCAAGCGUGAUCAAACAAUAAUAUACUUUCCCCUUCUAUUCACAUCUCAUAGUCUUUAUUCUUUAACAAGAAUGAAGGAAUCUUCAAUGGGAAAUGUAGUUCCACAUCUAACAUCACUGAUAAAGUCAGUUUUAUACACAGUUAAUAUUGAGUGUCCCCAUUAUCGUAGGGACUGUAUAAAAAUCUGCCCCAAAUAUAACCCCUUCUCUUUGCAGGUUGCUACAUUUCAAGAGUGCUCUUGCAUAAUAUCCGCUUCACAGGGACAUGAGAGGGUUUAACAGUUAAGAAUUAAUGAAUAUAGAAACUCCUAGAACAGUACACAUGGCAUAUACCUGAUAAAUGUUUUUGUUCCUUUAUUUUCCUUUAACAGUUUAAGAUCAGUCACAAUUUACAUAUUCAUAUGGAAGAUUUGGUGGAAUGAGGUCAAUAUGGUAGUUAAUAUGUGUCUUAUUUUGGAAGUUUUACAUUUGUUAAAAUAACAUAUGCAUGUAAUAAAAGUUCAGACAGUGUGAAGCAAUAUUAAAUGAAAAGAAAUUUACUUCUGUCUUCUUUCCCUAAACCUUCUCUUAACACAAUUAUUCUAAACAGUAUGCUGCAAUCUACUUUUCCCAAUUUAUCAGUUUUACAUAGUAACUAUAAACUUUGCCUACGAAAGAUGAGGAAUUUGGUUGACUUGUAUUACUACGUCCCUCCUACUUUUGUUGUUUAUAUUGUUACUUAAUUCUAUUGGUUUCAUUUCUUACUCUAAGUAAUAUAUAUGUAAAUCUCCAUUUCUCUUUGUCAUAAUAUAGGUUAUUCUUUGAUAUUUACCAUUUAGAUCAUAAACUUACAAACUUGUAGAGCCUCAGGCCCAGUGGUUCGAUGAUAAACUGACUCGGUGGUGGAGGAAGCAGAGGGCUGAUCUGUAGCAUUUUACUAUUUCUGUGGAUGAUUUUAAGCUACCAGCCUGACUUUGAAUUCCCUUCUAUAAUUAUAAUUACCUUCAAUGCUUUUUCUAUGGUUUAGCUUUUAAAAGAUUAAUAAACUGCAUUUACAAAAUUAUUACUAUGCAAAUGUUAUUCAAUAGAGAACCAAAUAUUGUGAUUCCUAGCAGAGAAAGAAAUGUAUCUUGAUGGGAAAUAAAGUCAAUAAUAAAAUAAGCUCUAACUUUCAAGUUCCAAUUGUAUUUUAGAAAUAAUUAAAUCUAUCAAUCUGAAGAAUAUGCCUCUUCCAAAAUUCAAAAGAUAAUACAAUGAAACAGGAGCAACACUUAGAAAAUAAAC